rnacentral:lncRNA from 1 species
CGUAAAUGUAAAUAGUAGUGUUCAUGUCUUAUCACUGAAACAUUUCUUCUAAUGUCCACUUCGUGACAGGAAAGGACAAGGUAAGUCUUGCUAUCUAGGAAAAUUUUAAUUAAAUUAAUUUGAAUUUUCAUAAUUGUUAUUUUUCUUCGUUGUUGUUUUAACUAAUAUAAUGCAACACAAUCUCAUUUCAAAUGUUCCCAUGCAAAUUACUAACCGACUUUCAUAUUUUCUCGAAACUUCGUAAAUAUUUUAAUACAUCAGGUUUCAAACCAAUUUGAUCAUCCUUAUUGGUGAUGAUCGUGUUGGUCAGUUUAUUAAAUUUCUGUGUUGGUUUUUUUUUAUAUUGGUGUGUCUAUUUUGGUCUUUUUUAUUUUUCCGUGGCGGUGUCACGUUUUUUUUUUUCGAUUUAUGAUUGUGAACGUCUUUUUGAUAUCUUUGAACUCUCUUUGUAUCAUCAAGGGAGACCAAGACCAGGAACGUCAAAAGUAAAUAAAUAAAUAAACGAUAGAAAUUCUAGGAACCUUAAAAUCUAUGCGUUAAACAUAUUAAAACCCAGAACUGAAAACAUUGUGGGAGGUCGACUGCAUAUGAACUAUUUUAACAAAAGAUUUUUAUGGUCGUUUCUAUAUUUUUUCAAUGUUUUUUUUAUCUGGAUGACAUUAUGCAUUAUGAAUGUUAAGGAUCUGAAACAGCUGUAUUUUGUGCAAAUUUAUACAUAUUUUAACUAUGAUAAAGAACGGGCCAUAGUAAGGGAGAUAUUUGUUUUCCUUAUUUUUUACAGAAUUCUGUUGAAAAUAUGACUUAAGAGAUAGAGGAAACAUUUGCAAAUGGAUUGCAUAAAUUCACAAAUAAGUAAAAUAUAUCAUUUGAAGUGUUAAGAUAUCAUAUAAUUUUUUAAUGCGUAAAAAUGUCUUUCUUCUGUUAGAAUAAUAAGCUACACGUCAGACGUUUUGGAAGUCAAAGAAGCACACAAACCAUGUUCAAAUUAAGAUCGGGAAAUAUUUUCUGUUUUCAUUACAUCCUGUUCUAUUGAAGGAGUGUGUAUAUUCAUAUGCAAAUAAAACUUUGGCAAAAGUAAAUGCAAUACAAAUAUUCCUUAAUUUCGAGAAAGACCUAAGAUUAACAGUAAUAAUGUUAGAACUGUUAUUCUCUUUUGCUUUUUCAGAACACAAAAUGAACUUUGCUAGUUUUGGUGAGUUUUUAUUUACAUUUCCCGAGAACAUAGGUCGGACAAGUAUGUCCUUUCGAAGAAUAAUUGUAAACUAAAUCCGAUAACGUCAAAAGAACAACGGUUUGGUGAUUUCAUAUAUAAUAUUUAAUUCUAUUCUAAAUAUAUAAUAUUUAAAAAUUCAUUUUCUUCUAAUAGUCCAUUUGCCAAUUACCGAUUUGAUUCUGUUAUUACACACUUUUAAAACGAAUUACUUCCCUUUGUGAAUCGUAGACUGGUUCCAUACCGGACAAAAUUGGCUUUUGCCAAUGCAAAGCAUAUCAAAUUGAAAGUGGUGUAUCGGCGGUUCAACUAAUUUUCACAAUAACAAUUUCUGAUGACAAAAUUAUUUAGCUUAACAACAAAUUAAUGUAAUUAAAAGAUUUGAAACCUUAAAGAUUACUCACAUUACGCACAGGUAAAUUUGCUCUCUCUGCUAGCUCUCCAUUUUAAAUAAAAAAUAAUGUCUCUCAUAAGGGAGACAACUAAAAAGGAAUCUCUAAUAACAGGGUCAAUUGACGGGAAUUGGCAAAUAGCCUAUUGGACACAAACAAGGUUAAUCGAAGAGAAUUACUGAAACUCUAGCUCAAAAUGCAUGCAAAGUCGUGUUAAUAGAUGAUUGAUUCAAUAGAUGUUUAUUUACAUAUUCAUCACGAAACUUAAUGGGUCUUCUGGGAUGAAAAGCAGGAUAAUUUCCUACCUCUGGAAAAUGAUGAUAUGUAAGAAAAUUUCCCUUACAAAAUGCCAUUAAACUUACCACCUCCAAAUUUCUUUGAAAUGGUUCUUUAACAUAGUAAUGUCUUCGCACGUCUCUUGUACAUGAUUAAAUCAAUAUGAUUGCUCGUGGUGAUGUAUUUAUACAUGCCGAACAACCGACAAACAUCCAUUUGUAUCAAAGAUUUAACUAUCGGAUCUGAGAAAUCUAGUUCACAAUAUUUCUAUACCCUUUUCAAGUAAGUGGGUCUUUAAAAGCACUUAAAAAUGUCGAAAAAAAAUUUUUUUUAUAUAUAACAUAAAUUUUCGAAAUUUUUGCGAUGUGAACGAUUUAAUCUAUGAUGUAAAAUAUUAAAAAUAAACAUCUUCAAUAUUGUUUAAACUGAAAUUUAACAAUGAUUAAUUAUUUUUGAAAUGAUGAAUAAUGUCUGCAGAAAGAACGAAUUUAUGAGAAAAUUGAUAUAGAACGUUCAUGCCAUAUGACUUUAAAGUGGGAAAUCGUACAUGGGAGAAUGUGAGGUUCGAUUUUUACAAUUGAAAAAUGUUUUUUAUGAAUUAAUUCUGUGUUUCAUUAUUGCACAUAAGUUUUCACGAUUUUUACAAACGGAGAGAGAGAGAUGUAUAUUUAAGAAAUAAUUCAUGGAAGCCAUAGAUUUGUAGGAAAUUUACACAUGCCUGGGCCGUGAUUUUCGAAUUUUAUCCUGAGCGUUAGCUAGAAAAAAAUAUAUUUAAUUCUCAAACCCAAUACUUGCAAUUUUUAAUUAACAUGUUAAAUGUUUUCUCGUAAGCUACCGUCAAAUCCAAAAUUGAGAUUUCGUAACGAAGGAGCUGUCAUGUAGACUCGCUGAAAUCAGUUAAUAUGCUAAUAAUGCAAUAGAAUAGAAAAUAAAACAAAACCUACGCCAGAAUUCUAUUUUAAUACAAUAUUAUACGAACUUCGAUGGUUACAAAAUAGUUUAUACUUUUGUGACAUAAAAUCGUAACAUAAAUGUCAAGCUUAUUUUCAUCCCUGAAUGAACCCCUGAUUGUGGAGAAAGUGUUCCAUGAUGAAAUUGACAUUACACAAAAUAUUGCUGAAUUACUAUAUUUAGGAAAUAAACACAAUUAGUUGCAGUAUAUUAAUUCUUUUUAUUAUGCAUCCGAUCAGAAUAAAAGUUCUUUUGUCUUUUGUUUUAUUACAAUUUCUAAUACAAUAAACUCGGCAAAGCGUUUGCAAAUAGGUUUAAAUACAUGUGGAUUUACGUGGGAGGUAUAUUGUAACAUCCAUUAUUAUGUAUAUCUCUGAGUCUGCGCUAAGUAUAGAUAUAUCGAGAAUUUUGACACGGUGUUACGUCAUAUUAGAAUUGAUAUUAAAGUAAUUACCAUACUUAAUGCAAAACUAUAAUAUCCAAGGUAACAUCACUUUUACUAUAUUUUAGGAAUACUACUUGCGUUAUUACCCUCGGUUUUUGGUAGGUAUUUAUUCAUUCAUAAUUUAUUUUUUAAUAUUGCCAUUUAAGCGGGAAGUAUGGCUACCCUUACAACCAGGUUCAACCCACCCUUUUUUAAGAAUAUCUUAAAUAUGGCAGUUGUUAUCAAAUAGAUCGUAUCUAUGUAUGUUGGCGUUUGUGUUUUUGUUGCACUUCAGUGUUUCUGAUGUUCCUUUGUUUUCCGCUUAUUAUAUAGUUGACGUUUAUUCAGUUUGUAACCCGGAUUUGAUUUCUCUCAAUCGAUUUAUGAUUUUUGAACAGCGAUAUAUUACUGUUGCCUUUAUUUAUUUGCUUCUUGUUGUUCAUUCCUCUUCUUUUAUUGCAUUAGUUAGCUGUAGCCAAAUAACAUAAUGUGGUUACACACCUCAUUAAAGAAAAUUACAUCUAUCAGUGACACGUAACCGUCUGCAAAAUUGUGAGAUUAUGGAGGCAUAAUAUAGGAUUAAGUGCUUGUGUAUCAAUUAACUAAUGUAAGAAAAGUAUCGUAAGAUAUAAAAAUAUACAAGGCCACAGUUAGAAAAAAUAGAACACAAACAACAAUGAAUAAUACAUGACACAGUAAACUUAUGACACAAUUCUAUCCUAUAAUAAAUUUAAUCGAGCAUGUUAACUCGGGUGUCUAGGUAAGGUCAGCGGUAAGCCUCAACGAUCAACUGUACCAGAACAAUGAAGCAUAGUUCAAAUCAAAGAAUAUACGCAAUUGUAGGUCGCUUUACAGAGUUGUUAAUUUCUGUGUCAUUUUAGUCUCUUGAGGAUAGUUGUCUACUUUGGCAAUCAUACCAUAUCUUCUUUUUUUAUAUUUACAAAACUUUCACAAAAGCUACCGACUAUUAUAUCUUUCUUAUGUUAAAGGUUGCCUUGACGGAAAUUGCUGAAAAUGUACAGGAUAGAUUUAUACCAUUUUCACGUUGAUUAUAUUUGUAUUAUACUGAGUAAGAUUAUUGUAAUGUUUUUAAAGAUACGUUUAAAAUAUGCAAACCAUUACUCAUUACUCAUUAUUUUGGUCAUUUUCAAAUGCAUGUAGGGACAUUGUUUCAUGAAUUUAUACAAUGUCAUAUCCAUUCUCCUUCCAUUUGUUUAUUCAUAUGUAAUAUUAUAGUGAAUUGGGAAUCAAGUUAUUACAACUUAUGUUACUAGUAAUCCCUUUCCACUUUACUGGUGCGAGUGCUGCCUUGUAGCGGCAUUAGCCUGCUCUUUUUGUCAAGAGGAAGACUAAUAUUGGGUCCCUGAACUUUUCUCCCCAGAACGGCAAUUGAAACUGGAACAUUUGUGUUUGUAGUCCGAUGCGUUAACAUUCAAUUAUCAAGUACCAUGAAACAAUCUUCAAAACUCUGAGAAUAUGACUUUUGAAAAUAUUUCGAAAAGGAAGAGUUGAUGAAAUAUAAAAUGAUGCAUCGAUAUUUUGUCUUGAAAUUAAAGUGCAUCUGAUUGGUAUAGACCACUCAACAAGUAUUUAUGAUAGUAUGAAUUUCCGCCAUUUUUAAUCUUUUAUAUAUAUUCUAACUUAUAUAAUCUAUACGAUGCAUGUUUUUUUUUCCAAUUCAUGUGUUUAAAAUGAAUCCCCAUUACGUCUUCGUAUUAAUUGAAUUUUAGAAUAUCAAUGUCCUCCUGUGGGAAUAGGUAACAGUACCAAAGGUUGAAACAAAAUACGUCAAUGUGAUAAAAUCUUAAAUUACACCAAAACACAUCCCAUUAAAUAACACCUUUUUUCAAUUUCUUUCUUAAUUGUGGAAGAUUCUCUAGAAUAAGUAUUUUUUGUUACAAAUAAUGCUUUUUUUUAAUUAGACGGAACAGUAAUUUAAGGAUGUAUUCUUCUGACUUUUCAGUCUCAUUCAGUCUCGUUGAAAUCUCGUUCUUGAAUUAUUUCCAAAAUAUGUGAUAGAAGUGAAAAAUAUCAAUGAAUUUUAAAAAUAUUAUAAGCAAACAUAAAUCUGUGAAAAAUUUGUGUAUCUACAAUAAAUGGUUUUUGCGGAAUCCAGUUUUCAAAUUUUACGACCAAUCAAGUCAGUAUUUUUAGCCAAAAUUUUGAGAAAAUGGGUGAAGGAUACAAAAAAUGAUUUUACAAGAAUCAUGUACAUCCCAUAUCAUUUUGGUCUUUUGUCAUUCAUUUAUAACAAAAAAAAUUGAAAUAAUAUGCAUUUUGUUCUUAAAACUGAGAAAAAUCACAAAAAUACAAAAUUGACAGCAUGGUAAAUUUCACACAAAAAAACGUCAAAAUAUGAUAAAACUUUCUUAUAUUAACACCUACCUAUAGUUUUUGUAAGUAAAAUUUAUUCAGAUUGGUCCACUUCAUCUUUAUAGAAAGUAUGAGAAAAAGUUUAAUUGUGGAACUGUGAUUUUUUUCAUGAUAAUAGCCCAAAAAUAGGUAAAAAUCGAUAAAAAAUGUGAAAAUCAUCAAAAUUGGGCAUUUUCAAAGGGCCGUAGCAAAAAAAGAAGUGCACCACUAUAUGAUUUUUUCUUCACCAAUUAUUUUGUUACAGUCUAAUAAACCCAAAAAUCAGGUUAAGAAAAAAGUUUAAUUCUAGAAAUUUUUGGCUCCUCAGAGGUGUACAUCCUUAAUCGAUUUUUCUUGUAAACCAUUUGGGAAUUUCAAAACGACAGGCAAGACUAUGUUGAAAAUUCCAAAAGAAAGAGGCCCUCCACUCCAUGAGUUUAUUUUAUCUAUGAGUUGGAAUGUCUUCUAGUAUUCUUCGCCCCUCUUUUAUUAUUUGCAUGAUAAAAAAAUCUGGUUUGUGUUUACAGCAUUAAGAUGUCUGAAAUGUAAUCAGCAGAGCACAGUUAACCUUUGUACCGAUAUUGUGACGUGUGAUGAUAUCACUGAGGUAAGUCAUGUGACUAAAGGGAUAUUAAAAUGUACAUCAUCAAUUUACAAAGCAACAAACCAAACUACAAAAUUCAACUAUAUACUGCCUUCGAAAAUAAAAUGGUGUCUAUACACUUAACGCAUCAUAGAUAACAGGAGACAGACACGUGUUUCAUCUACAAUAGACUCAUCAGUGACGCUCAAAUAAGAAAAAAAACAAAUAAAGAACAAAUCUCUAAAUAUAUAGAAAGUUUUAAAAUGUUAAGAACUGAUUUAUUAGAUAUCGUCAUGAUUUUCAAAAAUAACACAAACAUAAAGAUGACUUUUUUUGUAACAUAAGACAACGACUGAAAAGGGUCCGUGUCUUAUGUCCAGUUCUUGCAUUUUAAUCAUUUAUUAGAGAGCGGGGAUAGGACUUUUAUCGGGACUGCGGGAUCAGGUUUUUUUAAGCUCGGGAUUUCGGGAUUGACCCUUUCGGGAUCCAGGAAUUCUUUUUUUUUACGAAUUUCGAAAUGUUGGGAUUCAAAUUUAUUCAAAUUUGAGACCUCUGGAUUUCGGGAUAAUAACAUCUCCUACCCCCACCCUUUAGAUUACUAUUAUAUCACAACAAGCUCACACUCGGCUGUUUAUAGUUAAUGACAAAUGUUUCACAAAGAGACUAUGUGAUCAUAGUUAUACAUUUGUCAAAUCUUAAGAAACUUACAAAUAUAAAAAAAAGUGCUACACAACCUCACAACUAACCAGCUCUUGAGAUCAUCCCUGUUUCUCAUGGAGUUCUUGUUGUUCAGUCUUCAGUUUUCUCUGAUGUAUUUUGUCGUCGGUUAGAUUUGUGUGUUUUGCAAAAUGAAACGUGUAUCGUAUUACACGACUGUAAAGCAGAAUACAUUCAUAACACUUUUUUCUUCUUGGGGAGUUAUCUAUAUAUACCAUAUGAUGGGUUUACUUGUCAACAAGAUACGCAUUUACCAAUAUUUCGUUAGUUAUUCCUUAUCCAAGACGGUUAUUUUUGCCUAAAAAGAAAGUUGUUGUUGUUCUUUGUUGUUGUUUUGUUUAGAAUUCCAUGACCUCGAAACCAUAAAGAAAAUAACCAUUGUAAUUUAAUAUGAUAAUAAAUAAUUUAAACCAUGCCGGAGGUUAACAUCAGUUUUGAAUUACAUCUAUCAAAACAAAUCAUAAAUAAGAUUCAGAACAAAAAAUACUAUGUAUCUAACCAUAAUUUAUUUACUCUAUCAGACAUAAUUCAAUUUUAUGUGUGACUCCAAACAGCUUACAUAGCUUUACAAUUAUAAUGUCAAGAUCCUGACGAUACAAUUUUUUUCAUAUAAUAAUUAUAUUUUUCAUUGAUAGGAAUGUUAUCUAGAGAAAGUGACAACUGCGAAUUUACAACUUGUAUUCAAUGGUGGUUGUAGGUCUAAACAGGUAUGUUUUGUGAGUUGAAGUCAUUACUAGGUAACUUGAUGCUAGUUUCAAGUCUUAUGAGGUAUUUUUUGUUGUUACAUUUGUAAUAAUACAAGUUAUUUUUAUAGUAUUGCUGACAAAUAAUAUCAUAUAUGCUUACUAUAGUUCAAAGAUAAAUAGUAAGACUUAAUUUAUACUGCUUUACCUUAAAAAGUUGCUGUUUAUAAUUUUGAGGAGGUAAAGUAUUAUUUGUACCUUUGAGGACGUAGCGUAAACUGGUUAUAUUUCUGAGGGAGUUACGUAUCAUGGUUGUACUUCUUAGGACAUAACGUAAGCUAGUUAUAAUUCUGAAGAGGUACUUUAUGCCGAUUGUAUUUAUAAGAAGGUUACGUAUGUUUGUCAUACACUUGGAGAAGUUACGUAUGUUUUUUUAUUCUUUUGAUGACGUAACAUAUACUGGACAUAAAUUUGAGGCGGCAAUGUAUAUUGGUUAUACUUCAGAGAGAGUAACGUAUGAUUGACAUACUUCUGAGAACGUAACGUGUUCUAGUUAUUUUUCGUAUGAGGAAAUGUAUAUUGGUAAUACUUUUGAGGGGGUAAGGUAUGCUUGUUAUUUUUUUAAGAGGUAACGUAUUCUGGUUAUGCAUCCCAGGAGGUGACGUAAUCCGAUUGUACUUCCUUGGAGGUUACAUAGUCUUAAUGUGCUUCUAAGGAGGUAACAUAUGCUAAUUAAACUUCUGAGUUGUUACUGUAUGCUGGCUAUUCUUCUGAUGACGUAACGUAUGCUGCUUUAACCCUGAGGUGAUAGAGGAUACAGGCUGAACCUCUGAUAAGCUGAAGUGUUCAGGUUUUCAGUCUCGUUUCGACGUAACUGUUGGUUAACAUUUGCUAUUUAAACUGCAGAAGAGGUAACACUUACUGUUUAUGAGUCUCGGGUUCUACUAAUUUUAAAUGUUGGUCUGGAUUUCGAUAUAUAAUAUGUAUAGGUCAAAACCGUAAUACAUUCGGGUUGAAAGUCUUCAUCGUAACGUAUUCUGGAUCUUGUAGGAAACGUACUCUAGUUAUUCGUGUAGAACGUAAUGUGUGCUGGCUAUAGUUCUCGGAAGUUACUUUUAUUUAUUAUAUUUUUUAAGUUAACGUUAGCUGGUUAUAGGUCUAUCACGAUAGAAAUGUCCCUUUAUCUAGGUGUAUCUCCUUGACUAAUUUUAUCGUGAUCUUAGCUUUAAAAUCAAACUAAGUUGCUUGUUUUUGCAUACCAAAUGGGCUUUGUGAACAAUUAUAGAAUAGAGGUGGCUUUGGACAACUCUUUAUUAUCAUUAAGGUGUUUUUAGUUGUCCGAAUCACCGACGAUUUCAUGAGAAACAACUUGCAUAUAUGUAUCGGAGUAACUUAGAAGCUUAACUAUUCACAUCUUAAUUAUUUAGUCUUUAAUGAUAGUUUUCAGAUAUGAAUAAACUCAUCAUAGAAACCAGGACUAAAUUUUGUAUAUACGCCAGACGCGCGUUUCGUCUACAAAAGACUCAUCAAUGACGCUCGAAUCCAAAAAAGUUUUAAAAAAAUGCCAAAUAAAGUACAAAGUUGAAGAGCAUUGAGAUCAUUGAAACCACACCAGAUUUCCUAUCUUAUUUUUAUUGUUUUUGUUGGUCAACGCUUUUUAAGAAAAACCUUCAAAAAGGCAACUAUUUUUCAUAUGAAUUUUACACUGCAUUUAUAUGAACUUCUGUAGGCGUAUACGCUUUUACAAUCUUUUGGCAUUGGACAUUUCCUUUAUUCUUAGUGUAUUUUGUUCAACGGUUUAACAUCAAAAUUAACUAAAGGAAGACACAACAAAUUUUCAAAUAAAAUAUACAAUGCAUUUAUCAUUAUGAUAUAUUUACACUUAUAGGUUUGUACCUUAUUACAAUCUCUUGGCUUUGGAAAGAAGCGAGCAACCAGUUGCAGCAAGUGUUGUAAUGCAGACCAGUGUAAUGCUAAUCUUUGUCAGGAAAGUAUGUUUUUUUUUAUACGACAGUUUAGUAGUUAAUAUAGGGGUGUAAAUUACCGAGACAAAAACCGUUGCCAUGAAUUCAUGAAAAAAGUGUUUAUAUUUAUGGUUUAUUGUAUUUAAAAAAAACGUGUUCUUUGUGGAUAUAUGUGUGAUACUUUUUCACUUUUUUGGUCUUUUGGACAAUUUUGUUUGUGCUGUAUUUAGACCCUUCUACAACGAAAUUUAUUUGACAUGCACACGUAUAAAAAUUGCGGUUUUUAUCCAACGCAAUCAUAGGUUUGAACGUAGUUUUCAAUUUAGACUUGUUUAUAUUUUUUCGUUUGGGCUUGUAUCAUAUUUUCCCUCCGGUUUAUAUGAUCCGUUCAUCCUAUUGACUCUUAAAAUUCAAGAGUCUAUCUAAAAAUGAGGGUAAAUUAUAUAUGGCCUUCCAAAUACCGUUUCGAUCCCAAACAUCACUGAAGAGACAUUUAUUGUCGAAAUCCGGAUCUUGUGUACAAAAAACAUAUUGACACCUUAUGUUUGUGGCUUAACAUCUUGGCCACAAGUUAAUUGUUUUCUGUUUAGUAUUAAAGUUAUAUUAAGAUCCAUUUUGUUACAUCUUGUGAUCAAUUUUAUUUGGCAAUCGCCAAUGGCAGUCAGCAGGGUUAAAGAACAUCAGUUGUUCGACCUGUUAGUCAAAUGCGUUUUGUUUAAAAAUAUACUUUUUCACUUUUUUGGUCUUUUGGACAAUGUUGUUUGUGCUGUAUUUAGACCCUUCUACAACGAAAUUUGUUUGACAUGCACACGUAUAAAAAUUGCGGUUUUUAUCCAACGCAAUCAUAGGUUUGAACGUAGUUUUCAAUUUAAACUUGUUUAUAUUUUUUCGUUUGGGCUUGUAUAAUAUUUUCCCUCCGGUUUAUAUGAUCCGUUCAUCCUAUUGACUCUUAAAAUUCAAGAGUCUAUCUAAAAAUGAGGGUAAAUUAUAUAUGGCCUUCCAAAUACCGUUUCGAUCCCUAACAUCAUUGAAGAGACAUUUAUUGUCGAAAUCCAGAUCUGGUAUACAAAAAACAUAUAGACACCUUAUGUUUGUGGCGUAACAUCUUGGCCACUAGUUAAUUGUUUUCUGUUUAGUAUUAAAGUUAUAUUAAGAUCCAUUUUGUUACAUCUUGUGAUCAAUUUUAUUUGGCAAUCGCCAAUGGCAGUCAGCAGGGUUAAAGAACAUCAGUUGUUCGACCUGUUAGUCAAAUGCGUUUUGUUUAAAUAUACUUUUUCACUUUUUUGGUCUUUUGGACAAUGUUGUUUGUGCUGUAUUUAGACCCUUCUUCAUCGAAAUUUGUUUGACAUGCACACGUAUAAAAAUUGCGGUUUUUAUCCAACGCAAUCAUAGGUUUGAACGUAGUUUUCAAUUUAGACUUGUUUAUAUAUAUAUAUAUGUGUGUGUGUGUGUGCGUGUGUGUAGCUCAUAAGAACACUAAAAAAUGAAGCAGACUCUAGCUAGCGAACAAUUAGAGAAUCGACCAGACAAUAAUUGAAAACCGAAGACUUGCAAUAUUAUUGUUGUCUCAAAGUCAUUUGAAGCGAUUGUCGAGGAUAUAACAAAUACCAAUCUAGUCCGCGCUAAUAGCCAAAUUUAUGCUGUACGGUUUUAGCUAAAGACAUAUAAGCAAUUGCAGAAACAAAGAAUAGCAAUACGCGUUGUUGUUUUAUAUAUAAGUAGUUGCUGUUUUAUAUAUAAGUAAAACUUUAGCAUUCUGUAUACUUCCAUCUUCUUGUACCCUACAUGUUUAUGUUUUCAUUGCAUCACAUAACUGUCGAUCGUUGAAUAAUAAAUAACCAUUAUAUUGUUUUUUCUUUGUCAUGGCAACCUAUUGUCUCGCGCUCUUUGUGAAUCAGCUUUCUUUGAAAAUACUAUUAUUGUCAAGAUUCGAAAAUAAAAGCUAUGAGAUAAUAUCAUUAUUCGUUUUAAUAGAUUUGGCUCCUGCUGAUCACUGUUGUGAUCAAAAUGGUCUUAAACAUUUUUCGGAAUGCACGCAUUUUCUUCAAUGUCAGGAUGACGAGGUAUGUACCUGUUUUGGUUAUGGGGUGAAAUCUCAUUGACAAUCAAACCAACUUUCAUAUUUUUUUUGCUAUCAAUAGAAAAAUAUACUUUAAAUAAUAAUUAGAAACAAGAUCUAAGAAUUUGAGGGAGCAAAAGGCUCGUAAUUUUGAUACAAAGAUGUACAAAGAGUUCCUCGGCUUUUAUCUGAUCUUCGGUCGGAUUGUUGUCUCUUUGACAUAUUCCCCAUUUCCAUUCUCAGUUUUAAAAUUUUUCAAAAACAAAUAUAGCAUCGAGCAAAGUGACGGAGUAGGGAUGUUAAGUAAACGGAAAUGUAUACGAUAACCCCAUACUUUACGUAACCACUGAUGCGUAGUUGACCAGAGUUUUUAAUAUAAAAUAGUUCAAUUUCACAGAAGUGAGGUUAAAAAAUCGUUUUUUUGAAUCUUUUUUAUCUUUAAAUUUUUGUUUAAGUGAAACAAUAUUGGUUUUAAUAUAUGAUUCUUGGUUUACAUUGAUAUGCGUGUCAUAUGGUACUUUGUUUACAUUGACAGACGUGUCAUAUGAUAAAUUGUUUGCAUUGAUAGGCGUGUCAUAUGAUACUUUGUUUACAUUAAUAUUCGUUUCACAUGGUACUUUGUUUACAUUGAUAGGCGUGUCGUAUGAUACUUUGUUUACAUUAAAAGUCGUUUCAAAUUGUACUUUGUUUACAUUGAUAGGCGCGUCGUGUGAUGCUUGGUUUACAUUGAUAGGCGUGUCAUAUGAUACUUUGUUUACAUUGACAGACUUGUCAUAUGAUAAUUUCUUUACAUUGAUAGGCGUGUCAUAUAAUAAUUUGUUUACAUUGAUAGGCUUUUCAUAUGAUUCUUUGUUUACAUUGACAGACUUGUCAUAUGAUAAUUUGUUUACAUUGAUAGGCGUGUCAUAUAAUGAUUUUUAAUUACAUUGAUAGGCGUGUCAUCAUAUGAUACUUUGUUUACAUUGAUAGGCGUGUAGCUUGAAAAUGUUCAUCAGAAAUCAAGAUAUAGUGUACGAUCUCGGAUGUGAGAAACGAGUGGUUAGUAUUCUGGGUAUCUGGAGCUAAAUAUAAUCUAAUAGUUUGUACAUGUAUUCUAAACAAAAUUGAGAAAAAACCUGUACAUACCAGUAGUCAGUUAUCUGAUUACAUGUUUGCUAAACUUGUACAUAUUUAGUAAUCUGUGGACGUGUACUCUGAAAAGGAUUGUGAAAAACUAGGACAAAGUUCGUGCAAAUUCCGUAUAAUAGGCGGGAGACACUAAAGGGACAUUCGGAACGUAUUUGUCGAAAGGAAAUUGGCAACAUCAUGGCAAAACAUAAAUACGGUGACAAAAAGACAAACAGGUCUACAAAACACUACAUAGAAAACAAAAGGAUACCUCGAGGGAUACACAUGUCACAGAUCGUGUACGUCAUUUGAAAUAAAGGAGAAUCUUGAUACUUUUCAUAUAACAUUUCCAUAAUUUUGAAUACAUUUCUACAGAAAAUCGCAGAAUAAGCAUACCGUUAUUACCAGUAUGAUAACUAAAUCAUUUACAAAAAAAUAUUGGACACUAUAAAUACAGAAUAGAAGUCGAUCGUUUUGGUAAGCAAGUGCGUUUUAUACUGUAUAAGUACCAAAUUGAGUUUAGCCUUUUUUUUUUGUCCAUGUAUAAGCCAACUGUAUGUUAAAAUCAAGUAGUUGAUGUGCUCCUAACAAGAGGAAGUUACAAAGAGAAGAAGAACAAGACAGGAAAGAUUUAUCAUACUUUCAGUAAUGAAUUGUUUCAUUUUAUUGUAGUUAUGCUUGAAAGGGGGUGAUAGUUUUAAUUUUGGGGAAGUGAUCGUGCCUACUCAAACAAAGAAAGAUCAAUUACCUGACGAUAUGAAGCUAUGUCAGGCUUGCUGUAGAGGAGAUCAAUGUAACGUCCAGUAUGCAACAUGUGGUGCUAUGCUUCAUAGUAAGUACCAAGAUAUAAAAACGUGCGGAGCUAUGCUUUAUAGUAAGUCCUACCAUAUAAAACAUGUGCCGAGAUGCUUCAUAGUAAGUCCUACCAUAUAAAACAUGUGGUGCUAUGCUUCAUAGAAAGUCCUACCAUAGAAAACAUGUGGUGUUAUGCUUCAUAGUAAGUCCUACCAUAUACAUGUAAAACAUGUGGUGCUAUGCUUUAUAGUAAGUCCAAUCAUAUAAACAUGUGGAGCAAUGCUUCAUAAUAAGUACCAACAUAUAAAACAUGUGGUGCUAUGCUAUACAGUAAGUAUCAACAUAUAGAAACAGGUGGCACUAUGCUAUAAAGUAAGUAUUAACAUAUAAAAACAUGUGACUAUAGGGUUCGUGUAACACUUAUAAAUUCAUAUUUUAAAAAGUUUCAGAUUUUAGAUUUUUGAAAUUUUGAUCAAAGUUUUAAAAUUUCAAAAUUCCAAAUUGUUGAAUUUUUUGAAAUUUGGAAAUUUUCACCAAAUAGUAAAAAUUUCAAACCUCUACAUGACGUUUUUAUAUUUGAUAGUUUAAAUAUUUGAUCAAACUUUAAAAGUACUAAACUUAACGUGCAGUUUUAAUUAUUUCGGUUUUUGAAAGUUUGAUUUUUUAAAUUUUUGAUUAAAAUAUCAAAAAUAGAAAAGGGACAAAUAGAGGAGUACCUGUAAGCUACGAAACGGAAUAAAAGCGAAACGAAAACUUCAGAACUAUUUGGUUUUCCCAGCGCCCAUCAUUUAGGAGUAACAGGGAACUGACUAACUUGUAGUAAGUCAAAUAGUAUAACAGGGUUGAGUAUGUAUAUAUUACGACAUUUACUAACUAUCUGCAAUCAGGUCGGCAGAUGAAAUCAUUGAAUGUACAUUUGGAACUUUAAGCUUUAAUCAACUAUUUCUUUAUAAAUUGUUGGCCUUCUAGUAUUCACCUUGGAGCGCUCCUGAUGAAGAUAGUUCCAGAAAGAGCUUCGAACGCAUGCAAUUUUUAUAUAACGUUUUGUUUUUAAUUUUAUCAAUUGCAUGACGAUCAUAUAUUGUACAUAUAAGAAGAUGGAACUAAGUUGUAUGAGUGUCAAUGUGACAACUCUACAUCCAAGUCUCAAUUUGUAAAAGUAAACCAGUGUAGCAGUGAACGUUGCGCUAGCCUCGACUGUGGGAGGUUGUUGAUAUAUUUUUUAAACUGCUACUGUCUAUAUUCGACGAAUUUAAAAAUAAGAUCAUAUAUAAGUAGCUUGUAGCUAAGAAACUGUUAUAAGUUAUCCAAAUAAACUCAUCAUAGAUACCAGGAUGUAAAUUUUGUAUUUGCGCGAGACUCAUCAGUGACGCUCGAAACAAAUAAAGUAAACAAGGCCAAAUAAAGUGAAAUAUGAUUCAAAACGCAAAAUAAAGUAAACGUUAACAUCCAACUCAUUGUUCUGGAUUUAUAAAAGCUCAGCACAUUCAAAUCAUAUAUAACAUAUACCGUACACAUUUUUUUCAGCCUGCAUAUGUAUGUAAUAGUUGCCGCAGUAAAUCAAGCGCCCAUCUAUCAACUGCUGUUGUCGGCAUUUUGAAAAUUGAAAAUUGAAAGUUUGUAUCAACGAUCUAUUUGGUAAUCGGACAUAUAAAUAUUGAAAAAUAAGCUGACACUAAAUUUGACUUGGAUACUUUCACGAGUGGCUUCAAUAAUGGUGCAUUAUUCAGGUGCGGAUCCCCAAUUUGAUGAAAGAAGUAUUCUGUUUAAGCAGAUGACAAAACAAAAUCUGGAUUUUCCCCAUACCUUAUAAUCUAAAUUUUGAACCAAAUAAUUUGAUUGAUAGCGUUGAAAGACUAAAUAAAUUUUUUCGCGCGAUAACAAAAUUCCCAGACCGAGAAAAAAAACCCUUACACCUUUUUGAAGUUCAAAUGUUGCUCCCUUAGACUACAUUUGGACUGAUGCUUGUAAAAAGUAUAUAUGCAUUUAUCAUAAAUGAAGCUCAAUUAGGGGUCCUUAAUCCGCCAUUGUUUAAAAUUAGCAAAUAAAAGGAAACUUUUUUUUAUAUGAAGGGAUAGUUCUGUAUUUGUUAUCAAUGCAUUUUUAAGUUAUCGUACGACAAUCAACUUCUUUAAUAGUUUCGGUUCACAUAUUUACUUGACUAUAGUAGAUAUGUUUAAACAUACUCAAACUAACCAUACAAUUUGGCUUACAACGAGUUGGUCAGUUUUCACUGUUACUCCUAAAUGAUGGGCGGUGGGAAACCAACAUGGUUUUAAACUAUUCGUUUAGUUUCGCUUUUAUUCCUUUUUGCAGUUUACAGGUACACCUUUUUUUUUCGCCCCUUUUCUAUUUUUGAUAUUUUAAUCAAAAAUUUAAAAAUCAAACUUUCAAUAAGCGAAUAAUAAAAAAAACUGUUAAGUUUAGUAUUUUUAAAGUAUGAUCAAAUAUUGUGUUUGGCAAAACUUUUAAGAAUUUUGGUCCUCAAUGCUCUUCAACUUCUUUAUUUGGCCUUUUUUUCUUUUUUUUUUUAACUUUUGUGGAUUCGAGCGUCACUGAUGAGUCUUUUGUAGACGAAACGCGCGUCUGGCGUAUAUACAAAAUUUAGUCCUGGUAUCUAUGAUGAGUUUAUUUACUACCACUGGGUCGAUGCCACUGCUGGUGGAGAUUUAUUCCCCGAGGGUAUCACCAGCCCAGUAGUCAGCACUUUUGUGCUGACAUGAAUUAUCAUUGAUAUGGUUAUAUUUAUAAAUUUACUGUUCACCAAAUUUUGAAUUUUUGAAAUACUAAGACUUUUCUACCUCAGGCAUAGAUUACCUUAGCUGUAUUUGGCAAACCUUUUAGGAAUUUUGGUCCUCAAUGCUCUUCAACUUCGUACUUUAUUUGUCCUUUUUUAACUUUUUUGGAUUCGAGCGUCACUGAUGAGUCUUUUGUAGACGAAACGCGCGUUUGGCGUAUAUACACAAUUUAGUCCUGGUAUCUAUGAUGAGUUUAUGUAAACUAUCAAAUUUUAAAAACGUGAUUUAGAAUUUUGAAACUUUAACUAUAUGGUGAGUAUUUUAAAAUUUCCAUGAUUUUCAAAAAACUAGAAUUUUUAUAUUGUAAAACUUUGAAUAAAAUUUCAAAAAUCUAAAAGUCGAAAACUUUUGAAAUUUUUAAUUGGUAAGUGUUACACGGACCCUCUAGGCUUCAUAGUAAGUACCAACAUAUAAAAACAUGUGAUGCUAUGCUCUAUUGUAAGUACAAGCGUAUGAAACAUUGUGGCGCUAUGCUUCAUAGUAAGUGCCAACAUAUAAAACAUGUGGCACUAUGUUAUAUAGUAAGUAUUAACAUAUAAAAAGAUGUGGCUAAUUGCUUCAUAGUAAGUACCAACAUAUAAAGAUAUGUGGGGCAAUGCUUCAAUGUAAGUUCAAACAUAUAAAAACAUGUGGCGCUAUGCUUCAAUGUAAGUUCCAUUAUAAAAAAACAUGUAAAACGAUGCUUCAUAGUAAGUACCAGCAUAUGAAAACGUGUGGAGCAAUGCUUCAUAGUUAUACCUACAAUAUAAAAACAUGUGGCGCAAUGCUUCAUAGUUAGUACCAACGUAUAACAACACGUGGCGCUAUUUUAUAUAGAAAGUAUCAACAUAUAUAAAUAUAUAGAACUAUACUUCAUAUUGAUUACAAACUUAUAUAUACAAAAUGUGGUGCUUAGCACAUAUUUAUAUUUACAACAUGAUGCAAUAUGUUACGAAGUAAAUGCAAACUAGGUAUCUUCAGUAAAGGUGAACCUGGAGUAAUGUCAAUGAGGCAGCAACGUCACAACAUAAAACCAAAAAAGAUCAUUUAAUUAUGAAAAUGUAGUUUCAAACGAAUCGAACAGAUUCAUCCCUAUGUGUGACCACAUACAGUUAAACAGUUAAAGUUAAGAAGCGUACAGUUUUGCUCUGUGUUUUGCAACGUAAAGUUUUAAAACAUGUGUGUGUUUAACAGCGUAUAGUUUAACCAUAUGUUUAACAGCAUACAGUUUAACCAUAUGUUUAACAGGUUAAUAAUUAAUCCUGACGUGUGUUUAAUAUUUUUUUCGUUUAAAACUUUGUUUAACAGCGUACAGUUCAUUUACAUGUGAUUGAAGUAUGUCAAGUUGGUUUCAAUGAGUUGUAGGUUUACAAUAAAUGUGACACAGACGCAGACGUUGCUAGACAAACAAAGUAAUAACCAUGCUUUGUUGUCAGACGACACAAUAAAUAAGGAUGGACUGCAAUUAACAACGAACAUGUUUCUAGUCACAGUAAAACAGACUUGUAUUUGUUUUAGAUGACAAAAAAGUAUCUCUAAUAUGCUAUAUUCAUAUUAGCAAUCAUACCAUAUCUCAUUAAUUUUAUACAAGCUAUAUUAUUAAAAUGCAUAAAAGACUUUUUAGCUGUCUAACAUUUUAAUUGCUAAUGUGUUUACUUUUUAUUCUUUCAGGCAUGGUACCAGCGAACUUUACAAGAUGAACAGCAUUUCGUUAUGGCUUCAUUCAUACAAUAAAGUUCGGUUAAUGUGU